rnacentral:rRNA from 1 species
UACGUAGGGUGCGAGCGUUGCCCGGAUUUAUUGGGCGUAAAGGGCGCGUAGGCGGUGUGUCAAGUCAGGCGUGAAAGCCCCGGGCUCAACCUGGGAACAGCGCUUGAGACUGGCACGCUCGAGUUCGGGAGAGGAUGGUGGAAUUCCCAGUGUAGAGGUGAAAUUCGUAGAUAUCGAGAGGAACACCUGCGGCGAAGGCGGGUUGCUGGGCUGAUACUGACGCUGAGGCGCGAAAGCCAGGGGAGCGAACGGG